UUUCAAAAACCUUUCCAACGAUAUAAAAUUUGUAACAUAUAAUCUACAUACAAUUGGUCUAAUCGUUGGUCAAAGUUCGACCUCGAAAAGCGUGGACGCCAUUCUUUGUGAAAGGAGGGAGUAUGAUAUAACAAUUUAGCAAAUGAAUAUGUUCUCAUAUAUCCGCAUCAACAUAUUCUAGAUUAUAGAGUACGUUGGUGAAAUUGUGUGAAAUUGUUGGGCAGCAUGUUGCUGACAAAAGAGAUUGAGAAUGUAACCUGGAAGUACAAUAGUACCACCUGUGGAUAUGUAACGGCCCUUGAUUAUCAUCAACAAGUCGAGAUCUAAUACCUUGCAAUACACCAUAGCACAAAAAUUCUACCUUCUUCUAAAAAAAUCAACCUUUUACCAUUACCAAAUAUAUACCAGAAAUCUAUUCCAUCUCUCAAGUCCCAAAAUGUCAAAGUCCAUGGUGGUACAAGUUACCACAUAAGCUUCUCCCAGCUGAAUGUUGUAAGAUCAAUAGUCCGAUCUAAAUCGAGAACUACACUGAACCACCAAAAAAGAACGAAAUUUGGACAGAGAGAGAGAGGGACUUGGGGAGGUGCAGAUAAGCAGAGAACUAGCAUGUCACCUUUAUUGCGCUUAUGCUCGUCGGAGGCGUAGCUGAUGUGACCGUCGAAGGCGCCGACGUGACCGUCUUGGGUGGGUGAGGCAUUGCCGCUACUACCUAGGGUGGCGAGCAAGGAGAGUUCCCCUUCCUGGAGCUCAUGCGUCUCGUCUCUCUCCGCGGGUGGCUGUCGUCCAGCCAUGCGACAAGCCCCGGACAAACGCUUUGCGGCCCCACGCCUGACCAUCGACCAUGAAUAUCCGGACUCGGAGGACUUCAUGCCGAUCGCUCAUGCCGGCCCUCGCCGUACGGAACCCGACUCGGGUGAGCAUGCCGCUGAGGCGUUGGAACCGGCUGCUGCUGCGGCGCCGGUUCGGGAGAAACGCGCAGUUGCAAAGUGCCCCGCCGAGAAAGAUCUUUCGCAGAACGUGAAGCGGAAGAAAACUGCGGCACGUGGUCCUAAGCCGAAACCCUUGAUCGACGGGGAGGCUUUAACAGCCACGCAAUCUCGGACGUGUAUCGCGUCCGAGAUCCCGGCGGCUUCCACUUCUUGCGCCGAGGUUUGAAACCCGGCCACAGGUGAAAACGAGACUGCCGCGGAUCCGACAACCCCCGCCCGGGAUGUUGGCCCCAGUGCUGACGCCACGGUCGUCGGCCAAAUCGAGACCCCCCAAACCGAGACUCCUGUGGCCGGGGUCUCGGCAACCGAGGCCGCUACUGAGGCUGCUCCUACCUCGGCCGCAUUCGAGACGCCGACGGAGCCGCCGCAACAGCCGGUGGCGGGUCCUCAAGGACCCCAAGGGCCGCAGCCGACGCCGACGCCGCCUCCGUCUUCGUCGCGGCCGGUGGAUGCCCAACCUGCUGCCGCCCGGGCCAAGAAGGCCAAAGGCCCUCCUGCUGCAGCAGGGUUGGUAGCUCAGGGUUCCGCUGCGCCGCGGCCUUCUGACAAGCCGCAGGAAGUGCCCCUUCGGACGACCAGCGGGCACAGUUGGGGGUCGUUGGGCCAGUCCGUCAUGGACUGGAACAGCGUCGACCACUACGAGGUGACUUCCAGCACCUUGCAGUUGGCUCGGCAAAGCCCGCUGGUGGGACCUCCGCCCGCAGCGACUCCAGAAUCGGUGGCCACCCGGAUGUACCAAGCAAGGGUGGCUUUGUUUGAGGCCAGCCGAUCUGCCGAGCUCUGCAUGAACAAGCGCACCACCGCCUUCAAAACUUUGUUAACAAAGUACAAGAAAUUGGAGACGGAGCACAAGGCGUUGAAGGCUGAGCGCGAGAGCCAGGCCGGGGACAACGCUCAAGUAGCAGAGCUGCUGAAACGCGUCGUCGAGGUUCAAGAUGAGAAGAAAUUACCCGGCUGCUGGCGCAGAUCGCGGCUCAGGCCGAGACGUACAAGACCGAGGUGAGCCAACUCACCUCGGCCCUCUCUUCCCAGGCCGAUGAGAAAAUCCGCCUGGAAAGCGAGGUGAAGAAGGGCAAAGACCUAGCUGCCUAGCUUGAGACCCGUGCUACUGCCGCGAAGUUGGAGGACGCCGAGAAGACCGCGUUGUUCAAGAGUUCUUCCCCACAUCCCUCGAGCAUGCUCAAGAGACCGUGAAGGUCGCCCGUCAGAAGAGGGAUCCGGCAGCAGCGGCGGGGGAGCCGUUCGAGUACGACUUGGUGGAUUACCUGGUGAGCAUCGCGAGCCGGGUUAAACCACUCAAGUCGUUCGGUGUCGACAUGCUGAACGCCGGCAUCCGGGCCUUCCGCGCGCUAUGGCCGGGAGAAGAAGCUCCUGCGGACAUCCCGAAUCUGGCGAAACGUUUGCUGGAGACGGAGUCCCAGCUAAGCGACUGGCGGGAGUCGGCCGCGCGCAUCGGCGCCGACGAGGCGUUGUCGUUCGUACUAUCAUGGUACGAUGGCAUCAACCUUGACGUGCUGCAAUCGAUGCGUGCCGGCUCUCCUAUCUCACGGACCCGGAGUUGGUGGCGAAGCGCAGGGAGCGGGCCUACUCCUUCAUCCAGUAUGCCGACGUGCAUACGUUUGUGGAGGGCCCAACCUCUGAAGCUGACGCCGAGAUGACCGACGGGGAAGAAGAAGAGGCUGCAGCCGAGGAAGAUGCUGUGGACUUGGCCUCCACCGAAAAUGCUGCGCCGAGUUCCGGCGCCAACCCCUCCGUCUCUUCUUAGCUUAGUCGUGAAAAACUUUAGAAAUAUUAGAUUCCCGGAAUGCUGGGUGCAAAUGUAACCGGAAUACUUUUGUCUGUAAGACACCAAGUUUUCAAUUUAAGAAAGUCUUUUGUUUAUCGGA